GCACUGCUGAGGAGUCCCACAAUAGGACGAAACGGCCGUCCAGUGC
rfam:Schistosoma margrebowiei strain Zambia genome assembly, scaffold: SMRZ_scaffold0003224